UACGCAGGGGGCUAGCGUUGCUCGGAAUCACUGGGCGUCAAGCGCACGUAAGCGGAUCUUUAAGUCAGGGGUGAAAUCCCAAGGCUCAACCUUGGAACUGCCUUUGAUACUGGGGAUCUCGAGUCCGGAAGAGGUUGGUGGAACUGCGAGUGUAGAGGUGAAAUUCGUAGAUAUUCGCAAGAACACCAGUGGCGAAGGCGGCCAACUGGUCCGGUACUGACGCUGAGGUGCGAAAGCGUGGGGAGCAAACAGG
rnacentral:rRNA from 1 species